rnacentral:lncRNA from 1 species
UCCACGAUACAUUCUUUUACACAAAUGUGAAUAUUCAAGCAUGGUAAAAGGCAUGUGAUCAAGUCUAGAACGUAAGAAAAUGCAAGACAUAUCUUGCCCUUCAUAUUAUUUUAGAAAGGAGUUGUAGCAAAUGUUACGCCUCCUCUAGCGAGGCUCCUAGCAUGACCAUGUGGUAGCCAAACCUGGGCCUGCCACAUCAUUUCUCUGGCCGAAUCCUUAUGAAGGGUCGAAUCCAUUUGCUGAAGCAGACCCCAUUUGGGGAACCGAACCCCCAUUGGAGGGGUGAGCCAUUAUGGGUUUAGUGGAAGAUCUUCCAUAACCUUGGUAAAUGAUUUUAGGCAACAAAAUAGUAUUAAAAUUAAGGAUGUAUUUGAUUGGAAAUUUUUAUACGAAAAAUGGUCUUUUUCCACUCGAAUUCCAACUUUUGAAGUGUUCGAUUGUCAUUUUUUUCAUGAAAUAUAUUUUUCAACCUUUGAAAAUAUGUCUAGUUCUCCUUUUUAUUAUUCAUCUUCUUGUAUUAUAAAAGCUCACACAAUGUGCCAUUUCAAAUGUAAUACAAGUUUAGACUCUCAAUCUACAACUUUGCUAUCUCUUAAAUCUCCUAAAGUCGAAUUCCUUUUAUUUUAAUAUAUACAAGAUGCUCGUGUCUAGAGCAGCUCCCACAUUCAAAUACUUAUAUUAUCAACUAACUUGAUCGUUGGAGUGCUCAUGGCCAACUCCACCCCACCGGAGGAGGCCACAUGUGGCUAACGAUUUGUUCUAGUAUACAGGAAUCUGCUUAUGUGAAUACGGGAGGCCUUGAGAUCUAUUGGUCACGUUGGAUAUACAAAAUUUGAGGUCAACGGCAAAAAUCUUGGCUAGUAAUGAAGGAUGAUUUGCCGGAACUAAACUCUAUUGAAACAAGACUUAAGUUAUUAAAUUAUUGAGGACCAAACACAUAAAAAACUGUUGGAAUUUAGCCCAUAUGUGACACAAUUAGAGCGACCGUGUAAGGAAGUCUUAGAUCUUAUCCAUAUGAUUUGGAUACACCCUCAGAGAUUUUAAUCCUUACUUAAAUUGGAAUCAAGAGAAUCUCUUAGAGAAUCCUAGUAGAAUUAAAUUAUGACUCUUAGCGAGCCUAUAAAUAGGACACCAACAUUCCAAGAUCAGGGUUCUUGAGUUGUGGAGAUUUGUGAUUGUUCGAGUAAGCUCACACACACGAGCUUUAAUAAUUGUAAGUAACAAUAAUAUUGUAAGGUUAUAGCAAGGAAUUGGACUAGAAGAUUGUAGAUCCGUAUAGUACCACCACAUGCUUCCGACAAAAACAUUUGAAUGUGUAGAACUUUCUAUUAACCUAUUAACUACCCAAAAAUAAGUAGCCUAUCCAAAUGAUUUAACAAUAGAGAUCACAUCUCUGGAGGCAACCUUCUCUGGUGGCAAGAGCAUCUAUUUUGGAUCUUUUUCGAGUGAAAGAAGUAUCAAUUACCAGUUUAAGUAACUUUGUUAUCCAAUGCAUUCCACAGAAUUUCAUGGAAAGAGUUAUUCUUCAAUUAGAAAACAAAAUAACAAACCUCACGCUGCCUAUUCCUCUCAUCAUAUAGAACUUUAUUAAAGAUCAGGCCAUGUUAAAGGUGUAAAAAUGGACAAGGCUGGCCCAAGCCCGCCAAGUCCAUCAAUAAGAGCUCAGUCCACAGAAGGCACAGCCCAACUACAUUGGCUCUAGGACCCCCCCAGCCCAUACCGGGCUGGCUUAGGUGGCCCUAUUAAUUAAAAAAAAUAAAGAACUAUGCCCGUUAAUCAAGAAAACAUAACCAACUCUUACAGACUGCAGAGUCCAAUGGAUUUUGCAUCCAGCAGCUCUGAAUUAAUGCAGAGUCCAUUUCUAAUUGAAUUUUUUUUUGAGAUGUUAUCAAAGAAACGAAAAAUGAAUAUUUUUUAUAUUAAAUUACAGCCUAGCUGAUAAAUAAUUUGUCCAUCAUUACAAUAAAGAUUUACUAUCCUUAAGUUUCUUAUUUUUGAGUCCUAGUCCUUGGUUUAGUACUUACAGAGAGGAAGUAACAAUUGGAGGUCUUGGAAGAUGAAGAGAAGGCUCUGUGCAACUAUCUUUCUAGUGAAUAAAGUACUUAGAAGAAAAUCAGAUAAAAGUUCAUGGUUUCAACGUCAACAUAUCUCAUAAACAAAAUCAAAGUUCAGUGGGAGUAACCAAGUUAUCCUGAUGUUGAGUUAUUAAAAAAAAUUAUCUCUACAAGUUAAAUGUAGCUGAGAUAUGAAUACUGAGAUGGAUUUGUGGUAAAACGAGUAGUAACAAAUAAGCAUAUUCAUUAAUUGGAGCCAGUUGAAUAUGAAUCGGAUGAAAAAUGAUUAAGAUGGUUUGAGCACAUUUUAAAAAAAAAGCUUUAUCGCACCAAUUGGAAAAGAAAUGAUACUAGUACCGAUAAUGAUAGAAUUGGAGAUCCUAUUGCAAGCAAAGCAUCAAGUGCAAUGAUUGCAUGAAGCCAUUUUCAGUCAUUUAUCGAAAUAUGUUUCAUCCUCUCGACCCACAAGAUCAACAAAGAGAUUGAUAUGGCUCAGCGCCACUUUAUAAAGUAACAUUGAUGGAGAUACACAGGCAAUAAAAAGUGCUAGUUAGAGCCCUCUUUAAAAUACUUUAACCUAUAAUUAUUUUUGUUAGUCAAUUUACUUCGGAGCUUCUCCUCUGACAUCCAUGGAUAAAAUUCUGACAACCCAAAAAAAUAAAAAUAAAAAGGAGAGAAGUGAAAGUUAAUCAAAAAUUAAACAUUAUAAAUGUGAUAAUCUAAUAAAACCAAUUUGAUAAUGCAAAUUCAUUCCUCUUUCCACUCCACAGCGCAAAAUCAUUGCCUCUUUAUAUUCAAACUAAGCAGAAUCAUUGUUUAAUUUUUUACUAAUCGGUUCUCCUUCAAAUUACAUGAUCUGAAAAUUGAAAUUACAGGCAGAAAAUACAUAGUAUACCUUAAUAAAUAAAAAAUAGUACCUGAUUUCUUUUAACGAAAAUUUACCUUUUAAGAGCUCGACAAUGCACCUUUCUUCUGCUUCUUUGUAUAAAAUUUCAUCCUCAAUACUAUUGCCCCGAUCUGAAGCUAUACUAGAGAGAACGAGGGUCAUUUUGGAAAAUUGCACCAUCAGUCCUCAAUUAUCCCCAUUAUUACGGACUAAAUUGAAACACGACUGAAUUUAUU